CCUCCGCCCCCCUCCGCCUCCCUCCGCCUCCCUCCGCCCCACUAAUUUUGUAGUAAUGUUUCACUUUUUUCCGUCUACUUUUAUCUUUGUUUAUUAAGCGUGGACACAUGUGUGCCAGGAGAGGACUGCCACUGAUUUCAAUAGAAAGAGAUGUUCGGAGGUCCUUAGGUAUGGAAGACGUCAUAGUGGCCGUAUUUGCAGAAGCCGAGGCCGCAAGCAGCAGUUUUACGUAAAAAAAGGCACCACUGUGGAUGUAGGACCAAGGUGUCACAGCAACUUCUUCCUUUCCACUUCAAUUCCUUCCUUGUUUGUUUGUUUUUUUGCUUAGUUGCGUUUGUAUCAUUCUUUUUGUCAUUUAUCAUUCUCAAAAAUGUACACAUUUCAAUUAUGUUGGUUUUUCUGUUAUUUAAAUGUUGUGUUCGCAUUCAGAUGUUAUUGAUUAUUUAUUUCAUAUGUUUUUUCAAUUGCUAACAAGCAUUGUUCAAUACUUAAACCACAUUUUCAAAACUCUUCACACAUUCAGCGAGUGUAUACAGACCUAACUUUAAAUAAUUUUUCAUUGCUUUCAGACAAAAUCCACAAACACUUUCGUCAUUCAUACUCCACAAACUGCAAAAACUGUACAUCUGCAGGAUAUUUUUCAUAUGCUAACACAAUCUACUGCUUUCCACUGCUUUCAAAACUGAUGAAAGCACAUUCAAAUCAGAAAAUCAGACAAAAUCAGACAAAUUUCAAACAUUUCUCUCGUAAUGUUUUUGAAAUCUAGAAAAUCUUCAGAAUUAUCAGUCCAAGCGAAUUACAAUUUCAGCUCAAAGCCGACCAGGUGUCCUGCUUUAGUCUCACAACCAUGUUUCAGUAUACACUUGUGUGUGUGUUUGCUGUUGACUGCAUUGAUUGAUUUCCUCUGCCUUAAGAUUGAGACCUGUCGAUCUCAAUACAUUGAUUGCGAUCGACCCGUCGAUCUCAAUACAUCGAUCGUGAUCGACCAGUCGAUCUCAAUACAUCGAUCGUGAUCGACGAGUCGAUCUCAAUACAUCGAUCGUGAUCGACGAGUCGAUC
ensembl:lncRNA